rnacentral:pre_miRNA from 1 species
UUAGUACUCCCUCCGUCUGGAAAUACUUGUCAUCAAAAUAAAUAAAAGAGGAUGUAUGUAGAUGUAUUUUAGUUCUAGAUACAUCCCUUUUUGUCCAUUUUGAUGACAAGUAUUUCUGGACGGAGGGAGUAGUUA